AACUUAAAAUAUUAACUCUGCCAUCCGUAUACAUAUAUGAGAUUAUUAUAUUUUUGUAGACCAGGCAUGAAUUAUUUGAGGGAAACCGUGAAAAGAUACUAGAAACAAAGAAAAUAUUAUGCUCCCUACCCACUGCCUCAAACUGUAUGCCCAGGGACCUCAUUACAUGGGAAUGAAAAUUUGUAAUAAAUUAAAACGGAACAAGUUGAUGCAGAUGAAUUUAGGUUCACUUAAAAGAAAGCUAUAUGAGGUGCUAACACUGAAGUGUUAUUACUCAGUGGAUGAAUUCACGCAGGACAAACUGGAAAUUGUGCCCGGGAUACAAUGUGUUAGAUAUUCCAAGAAAUAUCCUUAUAGUGUUAUUAUUUAUUGUACUGCUAUUAUUUAUUAAUGUGAAUGUAAUUCUGUAUUAAUGUAAAUGUAAUUCUUAGGUUUAAAUGUAGAUAAAAAUUCGAGCUGGCAGGCACACAUUGAAUAACUGGCAAACAAACUGAGCAGCUUUGCAUUUGCAGCAAACAGCAAACUGCAGCUGACAUGGACACAUGAAAAGUAAUGUAUACAAGCUGCUUCAAAUCCUUUAUGAGCCUACUUUCUAAAAAUAUUUGCAAGAUUAACACAAAGAGUAAAGUAAUGAGAUAAAUAGCAUAGUGUCACACCUCAGAUAAACAAGACAACAAAUCACCGGUAAUAAACAAAUAUUAUCAGGCAAAUACUGCUUCAAUGAAAGUCGAGUCACUGUGGCCUCGUUCAACACUCACAGUGAGCAUCUUCAGGCUGCAACAAGGACAAUAUCUGGUGUAAUACAGCUGGCUGACAAAUGGGUUAUGUGUGAUAGAGUGAGAAUCGAUCCCACGACCAAACACUAUUGUGAACAGGCAGGCGGCAGCUGUCCAGAUGAUCAGGUAUCUGUAUCCAAGCACCUCCAUCCACAAGGCAUGCAUACCUGGUGUGCCCAUGAACAUAGACAAUUUGAAUGCAUAGCAAUGUGUUACCUUGCCAGGUAUGUCCUGCCACACAGAAACAAGAAGCUAUUUACUACUCCCAGCUUGCAUACAAGCACAUGUGGCAUAGUGAAAUAUGAAAGAAUAACAUGCCAGCACUGUCCAGCAGGCUGACAAGAAG